rnacentral:rRNA from 1 species
GACGAACGCUGGCGGCGUGCUUAACACAUGCAAGUCGAACGGAAAGGCCCUGCUUUUGUGGGGUGCUCGAUUGCCGAACGGGUGAGUAACACGUGAGUAACCUGCCCUUGACUUUGGGAUAACUUCAGGAAACUGGGGCUAAUACCGGAUAGGAGCUCCUGCUGCAUGGUGGGGGUUGGAAAGUUUCGGCGGUUGGGGAUGGACUCGCGGCUUAUCAGCUUGUUGGUGGGGUAGUGGCUUACCAAGGCUUUGACGGGUAGCCGGCCUGAGAGGGUGACCGGCCACAUUGGGACUGAGAUACGGCCCAGACUCCUACGGGAGGCAGCAGUGGGGAAUAUUGCACAAUGGGCGGAAGUCUGAUGCAGCAACGCCGCGUGCGGGAUGACGGCCUUCGGGGUGUAAACCGCUUUCGCCUGUGACGAAGCGUGAGUGACGGUAAUGGGUAAAGAAGCACCGGCUAACUACGUG